CUCCUCCUCAAUCGCCACCUCCACCACGCGGAUCCGGCCUCAAUCGCAUCCCCCUCGACUAUCCCAGUCCUCCAGCGCACGUCUAGGGGGCAUGGAGCCCGGACGCCCUCCCUAGACUGGCAUCAAGAUCAGCAACACAGAGGCUUGGCUCGAGGCAUGGAGGCCUGAAUCCGGGCAUAGGUGUCCGAGAUCUGGGCAUGGUCGCCCGGAUCCGAUCUCCUCGCUUGAUCUUCUUUUUUCCUGAUUUUGACAAAGAUUUGAUUCAUCUCGAAGCAGCUUCUAAGAUCAGAUCCAGUUGAAGUUGCUUGCUGAAGAAAUGCAAGCAAUAAACAAAGGUCUUGAAAUUAUUGAGCAAUAUCUGUUGGCUUCCAUAAGGUUGCUGGACUAUGCUGCUGUUGCCAUGAGUGAUCGGCAUGCAAAUGGUCAUCGCAGUGUCACUCCUUCUGCUCCAUGAUAUUUGCCUUCGCUUUGGCGGCGCAUUGAGGGCUGGGUGAAUUCGUGUUCCGGUGAUUCCACACCAGCUGUUGUUGAUCCCUUCUUCGUGUCGUCUGUUGAUCAUGUUGGGGAGUAGAUCUCGCUAUGGAGCCGGCCGUUGGACCUGAAUUUUUGGGUCUACUUUUUCAACUGAGGAAGAACUGCGCACUACCUCUAAUUCAAUUAUGGCAUCCGCUGUAGCAGCUACCUCUAACUCAACUAUGGCAUCCGCUGUAGCAGCUACCUCUAAUUCAAUUAAAUGAAUUUGUUCUGCUAAUGAAUGUUGUGUUAUUCACAGUUCACCUCCAGCAGGUAGUGAAAGGUGAAGUUGGCCAGCCACCGCGGGAGUCUACAGGUUAGCCUGUUGGAGCAGAGGUUGAGGACGGAAAACCAGUCGCCCAUGUUGUCUAAGGUGUCGGCGGGAUCUCGCCAGAGUUUUCAUUGUUGCCGAGGUGCUGUAGUGGGAUGCAGCGUGGAGAUUUUGGCUGAGACUUCUGUUUGCAGCGUGCGACGGAAAAAGAAGAGAAGAGGAAUAGACACAUCGAGCCUUGCCUAUGGGCAACCACUACCUGGAUGAAGCUGAUGUAAAUUGAACAGAUUGCUUAUUCAAUGCCUGAGGAUGUGGAAAAGAUAUGUGGUGGAGAAAAAAAGAGUGUUUUUCGUGAUCUUAUUUCCCUUCCGGUGAAAUAACCAUGGCAUGCUUCUACGUGAUUUUCACUGAAAUAUUUGAAACGCAGUGCUCAGCAAUGCAUCUAUGGUUGUUUGA